rnacentral:rRNA from 1 species
ACUCCUACGGGAGGCAGCAGUGGGGAAUAUUGCACAAUGGGCGCAAGCCUGAUGCAGCCAUGCCGCGUGUAUGAAGAAGGCCUUCGGGUUGUAAAGUACUUUCAGCAGUGAGGAAGGUGGAUAUGUUAAUAGCAUAUUCAUUUGACGUUAGCUGCAGAAGAAGCACCGGCUAACUCCGUGCCAGCAGCCGCGGUAAUACGGAGGGUGCGAGCGUUAAUCGGAAUUACUGGGCGUAAAGCGCAUGCAGGUGGUUUGUUAAGUCAGAUGUGAAAGCCCGGGGCUCAACCUCGGAAUUGCAUUUGAAACUGGCAAACUAGAGUACUGUAGAGGGGGGUAGAAUUUCAGGUGUAGCGGUGAAAUGCGUAGAGAUCUGAAGGAAUACCGGUGGCGAAGGCGGCCCCCUGGACAGAUACUGACACUCAGAUGCGAAAGCUGGGGGANCAAACAGGAUUAGAUACCCUGGUAGCUCUGC